rnacentral:snRNA from 1 species
UUACAGUACCUGGCAGGGGAGACACCUUGAUCACGAAGGAGGUAGGUACACUCAGGGCGAGGUUUGGCCAUUGCACUCUGGAUGAGCUGAUCCCUCGAAUUCCUCAGAUGUGGGAAUCUCUACUGCAUAAUUUGUGGUAGUGGGGGACUGUGUCCGCACUCAUACACCAC